rnacentral:rRNA from 1 species
AGUCGCACGGGAGCCGCAAGGCUCUAGUGGCGCAAGGGUGAGUAAUGUAUCGCUAACGUACCCUGGACACUGGGAUAGCUGCCCGAAAGGGCAGGUAAUACCAGAUGAAAUAUCCAGCUCGCAUGAGUUGGAUCUCAAAGGAGCAAUCCGGUCUGGGCGCGGGCGAUAUCGUAUCAGCUAGUUGGUGAGGUAACGGCUCACCAAGGCGACGACGCGUAGCCGGACUGAGAGGUCGGUCGGCCACAUCGGGACUGAGACACUGCCCGGACUCCUACGGGGGGCUGCAGUAACGAAUCUUCCCCAAUGGGCGCAAGCCUGAGGGAGCGACGCCGCGUGGAGGAUGAAGUCCUUCGGGAUGUAAACUCCUGUCAGGGGUUACCAAGUUCUGAGGAGCCCCAGAGGAAGAGGCGGCUAACUCUGUGCCAGCAGCCGCGGUAAGACAGAGGCCUCGAGCGUUAGGCGGAAUCACUGGGCUUAAAGCGUGUGUAGGCGGAUCGUUAAGUGCCUUGUGAAAUCCCACGGCUUAACUGUGGAACGGCUGGGCAUACUGGCGGUCUUGAGCCAUCUAGGGGCGACUGGAACAAACGGUGGAGCGGUGAAAUGCGUAGAUAUCGUUUGGAACGCCAAUGGUGAAAACAGGUCGCUGGGGAUGAGCUGACGCUGAGACACGAAAGCCAGGGGAGCAAACGGGAUUAGAUACCCCGGUAGUCCUGGCCCUAAACGAUGUCCACUAGAUCGCAGGACCUCUGACGGUUUUGCGGUCGAAGCAAAAGUGCUAAGUGGACCGCCUGGGAAGUACGGUCGCAAGGCUAAAAC